AGGUUCGGUACAUGAAGAUCAUAGAAAAGAGUGGAUAUCAAGCUCUGCCCUGGGUGCGCUACAUCACUCAGAGUGGAGAUUACCAACUGAGGACCAAUGCAUAAGGCUUUAGAGAUGCUUCCUUCCACAAGAGCGUAACAAUCACUUUCUCUGCACUGAAUGACUCUUAAAACGUCACCUGUUUUAACGUAAUUAUUCUGUUUAAGAGUUUUAUGGAACCUGUUUGAAGAUUGAUUUCAGCGUGUGUUGUGAUUCUACAUCCACAUUAUUUAAAUAAAGUUAUUCCCCUGGAGCUA